rnacentral:piRNA from 1 species
UCAAGUCCUUACAACCAAUCUAGUGUGC